UGGGGAAUCUUGUGCAAUGGGCGAAAGCCUGACGCAGCAACGCCGCGUGAGCGAAGAAGGCCUUCGGGUUGUAAAGCUCUGUCAGGAGGAAAGAAGGCACCUGGGUUAAUAGCCCAAGGGCUGACGGUACCUCCAAAGGAAGCCACGGCUAACUACGUGCCAGCAGCCGCGGUAAUACGGAGGUGGCAAGCGUUGUCCGGAAUCAUUGGGCGUAAAGAGCGCGUAGGUGGCUUGUCGGGUCUGGUGUGAAAUUUCGGGGCUCAACCCCGAACCUGCAUCGGAAA
rnacentral:rRNA from 1 species